UCUGCCGCGUGCCACCUACAUCACCUUCAGCCCCAGAGGUGCAGGUCCUCCACGCCUCUUCCUGCACCGCCUCCAGCGGCGAUUCGGUGGAGCUGUUGUGUUUGGUGACGGGUUUUUCACCCGCCCAAAUCGAGCUGGAGUGGUUGGUGGAUGGAAUGAGGGGGUUGGUGGUGGCAUCCAACACCCCCGUGGUUCGUGAGGGGAGCACCUACAGCUUCAGCAGCCGCCUGAACGUCUCCAAGGAGGAUUGGAAGGAAGGGAAAAGUUACACCUGUCGGGUGAAACAUCCGGGAACUUCGACUGUAGUGGAGGACCACGCCAGGGCUUGUUCCA